rnacentral:lncRNA from 10 species
UUUUUGUAUUUUUAGUAGAGACAGGGUUUCACCAUGUUGGCUAGGCUGGUCUCGAACUCCUGACUUCAGGGGAUCUGCCGUCUAGGGAGUUCCCCUUGAAAAUCGGACCUUUGAGCAGUGACUUCUGUUUUGCCACCUGGGAGCAACGUGUAAGGAAGUGGACUUAAGCUUCUCUCUCCCCAGGGGAAGAAGCACAGUGGAAAAAUCACAAGUGACUUCUGGCCUGAAAAGCCCUUAAUUUACCUGCUUCUACAAUUACUGCCCUUUCUGACCCAGUUCUUUCCCUGCAGAUAUAGGUGAGGUUCAAAGAAGCAGAUGGUGGAGUUUUGUUAGACAAUCAGUGAAUUUUCUAAUUAGAAAAAGAACUGAGGUCGGGCGCGGUGGGCUCACGCCUGUAAUACCAGCACUUUGGGAGGCCAAGGCGGGCAGAUCACCCGAGGUCGGGAGUUCGAGACCAGCCUAACAUGGCGAAACCCUGUCUCUACUAAAAAUACAAAAAAAUUAGCUGGGCCUGGUGGCGGGCGCCUGUAACCCCAGCCACUUGUGAGGCUGAGGCAGGAGAAUAGCUUGAACCUGGGAAGCGGAGGUUGCAGUGAACCGAGAUCAGGCCAUUGCACUCCAGCCUGGGCAACAGAGCGGGACUCCAUC